AUACGGAGGGUGCGAGCGUUAAUCGGAAUUACUGGGCGUAAAGGGUCCGUAGGCGGUCUGCUUAGUCUGAUGUGAAAGCCCCGGGCUUAACCUGGGAAUGGCAUUGGAUACUGGCGGACUAGAGUCUGGUAGAGGGUGGUGGAUUUCCCGGUGUAGCGGUGAAAUGCGUAGAUAUCGGGAGGAACACCAGUGGCGAAGGCGGCCACCUGGACCAAGACUGACGCUGAGGGACGAAAGCGUGGGGAGCAAACAGGAUUAGAAACCCUUGUAGUCC
rnacentral:rRNA from 1 species